UGUUCAGUCUUCUGUUGAACACUCCCGCCAGCGUGUCUGAUUUACAGAUAUUCCACGAAGAGAGAGGAAGAUAGAAAGCGGAGAGGGAAAGAGAGAGAAAAAAAAAGAAGAAAAGAAAAGAAGAAAAAGCUGAACUGUUCAGAAUUUUUGUUAUUGUUGUUGUUCAGAAUCUCACGCUAUCGGUACAGCAUUACCAUUGCAAUAGAAUAGCCUGUAUGAAAUCCCCCUCCCCACCUAUUUUUCUCUUUCUCUCUACUUCGCGACGCUAGAAAAACUAGUAAAAAAGGGCGAAAAAGAGAGAGAGGAUUCGAGAAUCAGGAAAAUAAGAAAUUAAAAGAGUGUCGAGUGCCUCCAUGUUUUAACACAACGUGAGAAUUUGUCUCGCUGAAAGUGAAGAGCAAUAUGAAGAGCAUGCGUUAAUGCGAACCUGUUUAUAGGAUCACUGGCUUGGAUUCUGUCACUGGAUAUGUAGAAUCCUCCCCAUAGACAUGAUACGCCAUAUCGUCACGGUCAGACUCGCUCCGAACACACGCCUCAAGCGGCCGAACUCGCCGGCCGCGAAGAGUCUGCCUUCGAUGUGCGGCAGGUUUCCAGCCAUGAUCUCCCUCCGAACGCUGUUAGUGUUGGCAACGCUGGUGUUCUUAGUCCUUAUCGCUCUGAAUCCUUCUCCUCCUUCUCCUUCCCUUCCUUUCUCCCCUCAUCCCAUUUCCGAGAGUGAGAGGGACCAAAAGAAGGAAGAGGGGAAUGGUCAAGACCUUUCGGGGAAGUUACGGGAGGUCAGGUGGACGAGAGGAGAGCGACCAUGGAGACAGGUCGUGGCUUCGUGGGACAAAAAGUU